CUGAAAAGAAACUCUGUGCCCAGUGAGCAAUGACUUGCCACCACCUUCCUCCCAGCCUCUGGCCAACGGUAGGAUGUGAAAGUCAUGGGAAAUGUGACGUGAAAGUACACUGCUCCACAUAAAGUCUUGAUGGCACUACGUAAAAAGAAAGGACCCUAUCCAUUGGGAACGAUGGUUUUCCAGGACCCAGGCCCAGUGACUGAGCCCGCACAGUCUCCUCCUGGGUCACUGCAGCAGAGAAGCACAGUUUGCUGGCGCGGGGAAGAAGGCCACCUGAGAGCUGGCGCCUUCGGAGCAGCACCGAUGCAGGACUGUCCCCAGCGAGUCAGCGCCGGCAGUGGCUUCAACACUCAGCCCCACUCACCUGCUACUUCCAUCGGCAGCUGAGAAGGGGUGGGUGGCUGCGUGCACAGUUUAAUAAGGUGGGUCACCCAACUCUGAAGUGACCACACAGGUGUCAGGGGCACAUAUGCCUGCGAGGGAUGUUUUGUUUUGGCUGCCUUUCUCUCUGUUCCCCAGGACUGUUUUGUUUAUGCACUGCAUUUCUUUCUGGAACUUCUCACAUGUUGCAGUGGGUCUGCAAGGAAUGUAUGUAUCACGUGUGCAGUGAUGUGAGUUACAACCCACCUAAAGAGAUUAAACCACAUCUUGUUA